GGCCCCCUAUAUAGUUUAUGCCAACAAGACUACUCAGGAUGGGGGAUGACCAUGCCAGGAAAACCAACCAUGUGAUUAGAGAGCUGGGGCUUUGAGCCAUGUGGUAUCAACUCAACCUUUGGGAAGAGGAAGAGAACAAGAGAUUACGAACCAUGGGCAAUCAUUCAAUUGAUCACGAGAGCAAAGCAUCCUGACUCCAAGAAGAGAGGGCGAAAGAAGCGUCACCUUCAGCAUCCUUCUAGAUCUCGCCCUAAAUACAUGAACUGGUCAACUUUAUUAAAAACUUCAAAUCUACAUUCUUGCAGGGACAGUUGCAUGCAGACUCAACAGCUAGCCAGAGCCUCUGCUCACCAACAGCAAGCCCAUCCCUCCCAGCUGGAUGCCAGGCUGCUCGCCCACGGCUGGGCUUGCUGCGACCUCACUGCUCAGGGUGCACUGCAGCAGGUCUCAGACAACAUUCCUUCUGCCUCCUCAGCUUGUGCUUUCCCCACCUCAGCUUGCGAUUCAAUGGCCGCCUAGGAGUCCUGCUGUAGUCCGUUCUCCACACAAAUCCCGCUCAGUAAAGCUGUAUUGUGGAAGAAUUGGUUCAAAGCUCUUACACAGGCUGCAUUCUGAGUGUUUGCCAUUACUGACCUUGUCCUGCCACUGAAUAUUCUGAUGGGCUCCUAAAUGGUCUGAGUGAAACUGCUCAAGAAGCCAGAUGUGUCAUUUGUGGCAAGGCCCCUGUCUCAUAGGAAGUGUGCCUCUGCUUUGUAAGUCUUCAGUUCCAUCUCACUGCAAUUGGAUAUUACAUUUGUAACAGACUCUGUGGACUUCCCAAAGGACAUCCUUGAUUCUGUUCUGUACUUCUUUGUCCACUAGCGCAUCACUGCACAAUGUCAUGCUUCAAUUUAAGGACUCAGUGACAGCUUCCAGGCUGUGUAAACAAUAAAGGUCUCAAGGCUUCUUUUACUAGUCUCUCUUUAAAAAUAGACUUUAGUAGGAUUACAUAGCAUCCUUGACCUCUGCUCUAAUGGUCAAACAGACUGACACUGUACUAGCUUACAGCACUUCAAAUUUAGAGAAUAACUGGUUAGAUCUGCAGGUGAAAGACAAAAAUAACUGCACUGUGUUCAAUUCUCCUAUUUGAGAUUUCCCUAUAGGAAUAAGAAAUAUGCCUCAUUCUAUCACAUGCAAAUAAGCCUCAUCUCCUUCGAAAUCCAAUACUUCCUCUUUCAAAGUUAUAUUAAAUAUCAAUAUUAUUUGUAAAUGUU